rnacentral:rRNA from 1 species
UACGUAGGGGCCAAGCGUUGUCCGGAUUUAUUGGGCGUAAAGAGCUCGUAGGCGGUUCGGCAAGUCAGCUGUGAAAUCUCCACGCUCAACGUGGAGGGGUCAGCUGAUACUGCUGUGACUUGAGUCCGGUAGGGGAGUGUGGAAUUCCCGGUGUAGCGGUGAAAUGCGCAGAUAUCGGGAGGAACACCAGUAGCGGAGGCGGCACUCUGGGCCGGUACUGACGCUGAGGAGCGAAAGCGUGGGGAGCAAACAGG